rnacentral:rRNA from 1 species
UACAAUGCUGGCAACAGCGAUAAGGGAACCUCGAGUGCCAGGUUACAAAUCUGGCUGUCGAGAUGCCUAAAAAGCAUUUCAUAGCAAGGGCCGGGCAAGACCGGUGCCAGCCGCCGCGGUAACACCGGCGGCUCGAGUGGUAACCGUUAUUAUUGGGUCUAAAGGGUCUGUAGCCGGCCGGAUAAGUCUCUUGAGAAAUCUGGCAGCUUAACUGUCAGGCUUUCAGGAGAUACUGUCUGGCUCGAGGCCGGGAGAGGUGAGAGGUACUUCAGGGGUAGGGGUGAAAUCUUGUAAUCCUUGAAGGACCACCAGUGGCGAAGGCGUCUCACCAGAACGGACCUGACGGCAAGGGACGAAAGCUAGGGGCACGAACCGGAUUAGAUACCCGGGUAGUCCUAGCCGUAAACGAUACUCGCUAGGUGUCGGCCACGGUGCGACCGUUGUCGGUGCCGUAGGGAAGCCGUGAAGCGAGCC